CAUGCAAGUCGAGCGGAAGAUGGGAGCUUGCUCCCUGAUGUCAGCGGCGGACGGGUGAGUAACAGGUGGGUAACCUGCCUGUAAGACUGGGAUAACUCCGGGAAACCGGGGCUAAUACCGGAUGCUUGAUUGAACCGCAUGGUUCAAUUAUAAAAGGUGGCUUUUAGUUACCCCUUACGAAUGGCCCCGGGGGGAAUAAGUUAGUUGGGGAGGAACCGGUCCACCAGGGCAACAUUGAGAACCCAACCUGAAAGGUGGACGGCCCCACUUGGACCUAAAACCCGCCCCAAACCCCAACGGGGGGCUUCAUAAGGGAUUUUCCCCCAUGGGACAAAGGUUUAAGGGACCACCGCCGGGGGAGGAAUAAAGGUUUUCGAAUGGAAAAAUUCUUUGGUUAGGGAAAAAAAAGUCCCGUUCGAAGAGGGGGCCUCCUGGACGAACCCUAACCAAAAGGCCGCGAUAAAUUCCUGGCCAGAACCCAC
rnacentral:rRNA from 1 species